rnacentral:rRNA from 1 species
GACGAACGCUGGCGGCGUGCUUAACACAUGCAAGUCGAACGGAAAGGCCCUGCUUUUGUGGGGUGCUCGAGUGGCGAACGGGUGAGUAACACGUGAGUAACCUGCCCUUGACUUUGGGAUAACUUCAGGAAACUGGGGCUAAUACCGGAUAGGAGCUCCUGCUGCAUGGUGGGGGUUGGAAAGUUUCGGCGGUUGGGGAUGGACUCGCGGCUUAUCAGCUUGUUGGUGGGGUAGUGGCUUACCAAGGCUUUGACGGGUAGCCGGCCUGAGAGGGUGACCGGCCACAUUGGGACUGAGGUACGGCCCAGACUCCUACGGGAGGCAGCAGUGGGGAAUAUUGCACAAUGGGCGGAAGCCUGAUGCAGCGACGCCGCGUGCGGGAUGCCGGCCUUCGGGUUGUAAACCGCUUUCGCCUGUGACGAAGCGUGAGUGACGGUAAUGGGUAAAGAAGCACCGGCUAACUACGUG